rnacentral:lncRNA from 7 species
AUGGCUUCAAGCUGCGCCAGGGGAGGUUCAGGCUGGGCGUUAGGAAAUACCGCUUCUCUGAAAGGGUGGUCAGGCACUGGAAUGGGCUGCCCAGGGAGCUGGUGGAGUCACCGACCCCAGAGGUGUUCGCGGCACGUUUGGACGUUGUGUUGGGGGACGUGGUUUAACUACUAUUACUAUAGUACAGAACUAUUGGUGAUGGGUGACUGGUUGGACUGUGUGAUCCGUUGGGUCUUUUCCAACCUUGGUGGUUCUAUGAUUCUACGAUUCCCUUCUCACUGGGCAGGCAGAGCACUCCUUGCAGGCUGCGGAGUUGAGCCAGCCCGCCAGGGGUGUGCUGCAGGGGUUCUGAGCCAACGAGUCUCCCCAUGGGGAAGCAAUUUGCCCUCUGCAGAGAGUAUACAAUGUGAUUGGGAAGCAGCCUUUGAAGAGCAGAAGGAAGCCAAGCCAAUCCUUUUUUUUUUUUUUUUUUUUUUUUCACAUGGCACCUACGCAGCUGCAGCCCUGACUGAGGCUGAUGUUGCCAGAUGCUGGGGUACUUUUCCUUUCAUCCCUAUCAUCCCUAGAUGCUUUCUCCAAGCUCUUUGCUUUCUCUCCCUGCUCCUUAGAGUCAGGGAAGAGAUCCCCCUUGCAAGCCGUGUGCUUGCGGCCCCUGAUUUAAAACAACAGAGUAGGAUGUGCUCUAUGCAGGACUUGGGUCUUUGAGUUGCUGUGGUCAGACCCCAGUAAUGUUCUCUAAUGUUCUCUAAUGAAUCAGCACCCCAAAGAUGAGGAAUAAAUUAGACAUGUGAAAAGAACUUUUCCAUAGAAGAAACAAGAAGUUUGUUUAUUUAUUGUUUGUUUCCAUAGAAUAAACAAUCAGAGGCAGAGGCAGAGGCAGAGGCAGAGGCAGAGGCAGAGGCAGAGGAGGAGCCGCGAGGAGGAGGGGAGAAGCCGUUGCCGCGGCGACGCGCGGCUCGGGCGGGCGCUGUGCGGUGGCAGUGACGCACGGCUCUGCGCGCGCCCUGGAGACGCGUGAACGCGCGAGCGUCCUCCGGCCGGCCCCUUCCUCGUCGUCCUCGUCGUCCUCGUCCCGUCGUCCUCGUCGUCCUCGCAAAUGCGGACUCAGAGCAAAGCAGCUCCCUUUGGCACGGGGAGGAGCGCCGCUAACUCGACCACGCUCGCUCCCGUGAGGCGGCUCGCUUGCCGGCGAUCUCCGACGGACGGCUCGCUAGGAGGUACGCCGCCCGUUAGAACGCGUGCCGUUGCUACCGGCUUUCUUUCCGCGACGCCGCUAAGCACGCCUGCGUCCAGUCGGCGCGUACUCGCGUACCGCUGGCGGCCUCUUCCCGCGGCGCCGCCCGCGUUGGCGACGCGGUGCCCGAUGCCGGAGUGAAGCCAGCGGUUCACUGCUGUGGCGCCGCCUGCCGGAAGGGCCGGAAAGCGCACCCGGAGCCGACCCGCCGCCGCGCUGCCAGGUGGGGAAACGGGGCGGGCGGGAAGCGCUUCGAGCCGAGUAGCCCCGGGCUCUCCCGUCCUCCCGAGUGCCGGCAGUGCCUCCGUCGUGAACGCGAUCGGCAGCUUUCGUCGGUGCCCUUUUCCCGUCUGCUUUUCCCGUGGCGGUGGCGGUGAAUCGAGAGAGGAAGCGGUCCUGGGGCACGGCUCGGGGCUCUCAGGGCUUCCUUGGAGUUGCUGGGAGCGUCUGCUGUUAGCAGCAGUUGCUGCGGGAACUCUCCCGUGCUUUCAGCACUCGACCUCCGUUGUACUCUUGAGGGCUUCACCCGACGGCUGCGGGCUGCGGCUGCGGGCUGUGGAUGCGAUGGCAGUGGAUGCAAGUGAGCAGUCCCGUGAGAAGCUCCUUGUUUGCCAAGUUCCUGCCGUGAGGCUGUAGGACCGAGGCCCUCUUUAGCGCACCGCUACAGAGCCAUAGGAAUCUGGGAUGCUUCUGCACACGUACGGCUUGCUGUGCUCUGAUGUUAGCAAUGGAGGCGGGGAUUUGGGAUUUGGGAUUUGGGAUUGGGGAUUUGGGAUAUGGGAUUUGGGAUUUGGCCUUUGGCUUUUGGCCUUUGGCCUUUGGCCGGGGAGGAGAUGGAUAGCGAUGGCUGGAGGUUCUCUUCCCUUCAGGAAAGAAGCUCCUGCUCUGGCUCCGCCAAGGCUUUGCUUCUCUCCUAGAAAGAAGCCAUUCCAGACGUUUGGGCUGCUGCUGCGUAAUCUCUCCUUGGAAUGCUGGGGACAUCACACCCGAAAUGCUUGGGCGUUUGCUUUGUUGUUCAACAGACGCCUGCAGUUCCCGUUCUGGCAGCGGCUCGGUGCAAGCGCAGGCCCAAGGGAGAUGUCAGCUGCGGAGACGUGCCCUUCCUCCACAGCACGGGAAAGCAAGUCGGGGAGAAGAGCUGGAGGCAGCUGAACCUGUAAGUGGAGCGUGUCAGAUAAUUUGGCCAGUAUUGGCAAAGGAGUAACUGACAGCCGAAAGAAAAUAAAUAGGGGAGGGGCGGGCUGAAAGAAACAAGCAGAACCGCACAAGUUGCCAGAAAACAACUUGGGCUUAUACUUCUUUUGACCUAGAUAUGAGAAAAUGGAACUGAGAGACCCUGCGAAGGAGGAGAUCCCUGAGAAAAAGCGCAACACCAGCCAGAAGCUCAGCCUCGGAUACCUGCACAUGGCCGUCAGACAGAAGACGGGCAUGAAGACGAGAGCAGGGUCAGACCCUAAACAACAGCAAGGCCACCUUGGCUAUGGAGCAGACAGUGGACCUGAAAUUGCAACAAGAAACAGGUACACACACACCACACACACUCAGGGGAGAAACCCCUUCACCAGGGGCUUCUACCCCACGCACGGGGUCCCCUCCUCAGCCGGAGGGCACCCCAGUUCCACCCGCACGCAAGGGAACCCUUGAAAACUUCAGGGCUAAGCCCCAUCUCACCUCCACGCACGGGGUCCUCUCCUCAGCUGGAGGGCACCCCAUUUCCACCCGCACGCAAGGGGAACCCUCGAAAACUUCAGGGCUAAGCCCCAUCUCACCUCCACGCACGGGUCCCCUCCCAGCCGGAGGGCACCCCAGUUUGACCUGCAUGCAAGGGGAACCCUUGAAAACUUCAGGGCUAAGCCCCAUCUCACCCGCACGCACGGGGUCCCCUCCUCAGCCGGAGGGCACCCCAGUUCACUUGCAAACAAGGGGAACCCUUGAAAACUUCAGGGCUAAGCCCCAUCUCACCUCCACGCACGGGGUCCCCUCCUCAGCCGGAGGGCACCCCAGUUUCACCCACAUGCAAGGGGAACCCUUGAAAACUUCAGGGCUAAGCCCCAUCUCACCUCCACGCACGGGGUCCUCUCCUCAGCCGGAGGGCACCCCAGUUUCACCCACAUGCAAGGGGAACCCUUGAAAACUUCAGGGCUAAGCCCCAUCUCACUGCACGCACGGGGUCCCCUCCUCAGCCGGAGGGCACCCCAGUUUCACCACAUGCAAGGGGAACCCUUGAAAACUUCAGGCUAAGCCCCAUCUCACUCCCACGGGUCCCUCCUCGCCGAGGGCACCCAGUCCACCGCACGCAAGGGGAACCCUUGAAACUCAGGGCUAAGCCCCAUCUCACCUCCACGCACGGGUCCCUCCUCAGCCGGAGGGCACCCCAGUUUCACCCACAUGCAAGGGGAACCCUUGAAAACUUCAGGGCUAAGCCCCAUCUCACUGCACGCACGGGGUCCUCUCCUCAGCCGGAGGCACCCCAGUUUGACCCGCACGCAAGGGAACCCUUGAAAACUUCAGGGCUAAGCCCCAUCUCACCUCCACGCACGGGGUCCUCUCCUCAGCCGGAGGGCACCCCAGUUUCACCCCAUGCAAGGGGAACCCUUGAAAACUCAGGGCUAAGCCCCAUCUCACCUCCACGCACGGGGUCCCUCCUCAGCCGGAGGGCACCCCAGUUUCACCCACAUGCAAGGGGAACCCUUGAAAACUUCAGGGCUAAGCCCCAUCUCACCUCCACGCACGGGGUCCCCUCCUCAGCCGGAGGGCACCCCAGUUUACCCACAUGCAAGGGGAACCCUUGAAAACUUCAGGGCUAAGCCCCAUCUCACCCACGCACGGGGUCCCUCCUCAGCCGGAGGGCACCCCAGUUUCACCCACAUGCAAGGGGAACCCUUGAAAACUUCAGGGCUAAGCCCCAUCUCACUCCACGCACGGGGUCCU